UUGACCUGUUCACCAGGCUUAACUUGCUUUUUCAUGCAUGAAAAUAGUACCAUCGGAUAUAUUGGAUUUUUUGAAUCAUUUUUCAUAUAUAAAUCUUUUCCAUCUGAACUACGGUUGAAUUUAUAUGAUUUUUUUAAGUUCAUAUCAAUUUAUGCAAUUUCCUGGUUAUUCUAAAUCUUAUAUCUUAUCUAUCUAUCUAUCUAUCUAUCUAUCUAUCUAUCUAUCUAUAUCUAUACCUAUACUAAUUACAGACUCUCCAGAAAUUACCACGUUAAUCAGUAAUUAGGAGCCGUUAAUCUGGUGGGGACGAGUUAUGACGGUGUAGAUUGACUCAAAAAAUCCUCCAAAAAAAACUAAAAAUCAAACGAUUCUUUCUUCUAUCUAUCUUCUAUUAAUUGUUUUUCUUAACGCUAGAGAUUUGUUUAUUGUAACGCUAUAGAUUUUUUCAACAUGGACAACAAGUCCAAUAGGCUCACGUAAGGCUCGGGCAGGCCAAUUAUAACGGUACCUAAACAGCCCAUCCCCGUUGGCAAAAACAAGAAAAAAACAUAUUCACGCAAUAUGUAUCUUCAUAUGCCUUAUCCUCCCAAUCCUCUUCGAUCUGUAAAUGUCGAUCUGGCGAUUGAAUCUAACUACAAGCCAGCACCAGUGCCCUCCCUCUCCCCUUCCUAUGCCGCCUCCCUCACAACCUAGGCAAGGCUUGAUGUGCUGAAGCUACAUGGGAUGUAGUGCCCCUCAUGAGAUUAUCCCGGCAGAGUCUGAGCUACGGCUCGACGGCCAUGGUCGACCCACCGUGGCUGCCGCCGUGCCGCCUGUGUCCACAUGCGAGGCUGAGAGGGUAUUGCAAGGUGUACCGAUUGUGCUCUAAACUAGAUGGUGCAGCUGUCGUAUGUGGUGUGUUGACAAUUCAAGAACCUACUAGAAGACUGGUGGCACAGUGAUUUACAUCUCCGAAGUCACCAAGUUCAUCCUCGGUUGUCUAGAUCCACUAAAUUCGGUGCAUACCCUGCUUGAUUUUUCUGUAGCACUAACACUAAAGAUCUCUUAUUUUUCUUAUAAGUACACCACAGUACCACAUGCAAAGCCAAGACGCUGAUUGCAAGGACGCUGGAUCAUAUAGAUGAUUCUCAGGUGGUGGUUCGGACAACCUGCCGGUGUAGAAGGUGUGAAGAGCUAGGAUAUGUUGUCUUUCCAGGUCCCAACAUUGACCCGAGCCUGUUCUGCCAUGCCAAGUUGGCCGGAUCAAGCUUGCUAUGUCUCUCGUGUCAGCUAACCGGUUGUGCGCACUGACACAACAGAACGGCCAUCAGCGGCAACGCAUGCAGAUUGAAGAGGGGAAGCAGGACUUCAGGAUAUGGAAAUUGCAAGCAUGUUGUAGAUGGAGAGAGGGACAACGGACGGGACUACAGAAUUUGCAAGCAUGCUGUACAUGGAGAGAGGGACAACUGAUGGAUGAGAAUACAAAGCGAUAGAUGCAUACGUCGAUACGUGCUUUUGAGAUUGGAUCUUAAUUAAUUAAUCCUAUGCAACUAACUUGUUGCUUCAGGCUUAAUUCCUUUCAGGGCUGGGACUGAAUCAUACCUUUGUUGCAGUUAAGCUAUACGUUCAUCUUUCCCAAAGGAACCAAUGAUUCCC